CUUGGCUCUAAGGAGCUCUAGGAGAGACAAGACUUAUACAAGAAUAGAAAAUCAUGAGCUAAACAGCUAAGCCAGUGUCUAAUAAAAUGCUAAGCUGAAUGAACCUUAGUGAUGGGAGAAGUUGAAAUUCAGGGAAGGAGGCCUCUAUAGAAGCAAGGAGGUGCCCAGCAUUUAUUGAGCACUUACUAUGUGCUGGCUUCACACAACUGGACCCUAUUUUACUCACCAAGGGACACUGAGGCUCAGACACACGAAAUAACCCACUUCCAGGUAGAAUUGGCUGGAGUUGGCACUGGAGUCUGGAUGAUGGAGAGUGGACCUGAGCUGACCUGGAGAGAGGGGUGGGGUGCAGAGAGGCAGAGGUUGAAGGGGAUCUCUAUUCCUCGGUUUGCUGCCUUAUUCCUUGGUUGCUCCCCUGAAGCUGUGCCCUGCCCCAGAAAGACAUGAGAAGUGCUGCCUGGGGCCCACUGCUGGUCUAGCCAUGCCGGGCAGGCUGUGGGCAUUGGUGCCAGCCGGUGCUGGCUGGUGGAGACCACAUACGGCUCCUACUGUGCCACAGCCCAGCAGUGAAACCCGACAUGCAUCUUGGCUCCACAAGGUGCUGGGCAUUUGCCUUCUUAUCAGGCUGGGCACAUUCCUUGACCAAGUGACCACCUGGGUUGCCGGUCAGGGUAGGUCUACUUCCGGCUGUGUGUGGAUUCGCAUUGCUGCCUGUCCUGCAAGCAGGGCAUCUGUAUUCUUCAUCCAUAUGAAGAAGCGAGGAAGUGUGAAGGUUAAUUUUCUUGAGCAGCCAUGCCAACGUUGUGCAGGCAUCACAGAGGGUUUGAGGAUUUAG
rnacentral:lncRNA from 1 species